GCGGGUGUAACUCAGGGGUAGAGUGCAACCUUGCCAAGGUUGAUGUCGAGAGUUCGAAUCUCUUCACCCGCUCCA
rnacentral:tRNA from 1 species